AGACCCGAAACCCGGUGAUCUAGCCAUGGGCAGGUUGAAGGUUGGGUAACACUAACUGGAGGACCGAACCGACUAAUGUUGAAAAAUUAGCGGAUGACCUGUGGCUGGGGGUGAAAGGCCAAUCAAACCGGGAGAUAGCUGGUUCUCCCCGAAAGCUAUUUAGGUAGCGCCUCGUGAAUUCAUCUCCGGGGGUAGAGCACUGUUUCGGCUAGGGGGCCAUCCCGGCUUACCAACCCGAUGCAAACUGCGAAUACCGGAGAAUGUUAUCACGGGAGACACACGGCGGGUGCUAACGUCCGUCGUGAAGAGGGAAACAACCCAGACCGCCAGCUAAGGUCCCAAAGUCAUGGUUAAGUGGGAAACGAUGUGGGAAGGCCCAGACAGCCAGGAUGUUGGCUUAGAAGCAGCCAUCAUUUAAAGAAAGCGUAAUAGCUCACUGGUCGAGUCGGCCUGCGCGGAAGAUGUAACGGGGCUAAACCAUGCACCGAAGCUGCGGCAGCGAACGUAUCACCCAAGACAACUUUACGGAGUUGACGAUUGACGGAGCGAAGCGACGUCAAAGCGUUCAUUAAAGUCGAGUUGGCUUAGGGAUACGUUCGUUGGGUAGGGGAGCGUUCUGUAAGCCUGCGAAGGUGA
rnacentral:rRNA from 1 species